AACGCACAUUGCGCCCUUCGGUAUUCCGUUGGGCAUGCCUGUUCGAGCGUCAUUUAAACCUUCAAGCUCUGCUUGGUGUUGGGUGUUUGUUCCGCCUCUGCGCGUGGACUCGCCUCAAAUUCAUUGGCAGCCGGUAAGUUGGCUUCGUGCGCAGCACAUUGCGUGUCGAUUCCAGCCUGCCCCCUCCCAUUAAGCCUCUUUUUUACUUUGACCUCGGAUCAGGUAGGGAUACCCGCUGAACUUAA
rnacentral:misc_RNA from 1 species